rnacentral:rRNA from 1 species
ACAAGCCUGAGAAACGGCUAGUAGGACUAAGGUCUGCAGCAGGCGCGAAACUUACACAAUGCUAGAUUACAAUUAGCGAUGUAGUGAAGAAAAAUAACGAUGUAUUUCCAUUUAAACAUGGUAGUACAAUUGGAAUGAGACGACUUUAAAUCAGUUAGUCGAGUAACAAAUGGAGGGCAAGUCUGGUGCCAGCAGCCGCGGUAAUUCCAGCUCCAUUAGCAUACAUUAAAGUUGUUGCGGUUAAAAAGCUCGUAGUUGAAUUUUAGGCGGGCUCUAUUGGGGUGCAAUCGUUAAGGUCCUCUGGUCAUAGGUUCGCCCUAUCUAGUCGGACUGGUUGUCAUCUUCCUAUAGGAACUCGCUGUUUCGUCACUUAAUCGAGUGCGAAGCGGGCUGGAACGAGGGUACGACUUCGGUCUACCUUGUCUCAGCAUCUUUACCUUGAGAAAAUUAGAGUGCUCACAGCAGGCAGUUGGGGUGUAAAAGCUCCUUUAUGCUUGAAUAAUGUUGCAUGGAAUAAUAGAAUACGGCCUCGGUUCUAUUCUGUUGGUCUUAUAGAACAACAAACAAGUUGGUUAAAGCGAUCAAAAGUCUAUAUGUGAGUGUGGUCUAGUGGUAGCUUCUUAGUUGCUGGUUAACUUCCGGCUGUGUCUUGUUGCCUAGGGCCAAAAUCCUAGAGUCUUACGCUCCGGCUUGUUGCCUUCUUUACUAAUUAGCACGCCACUUUUCCAUCCAAAGCAUUCCUUAUACGACUAGCUUCUAAUCAACUGAGGCAAUGGUUAAAAGAAAUAGUCGCGGCGGCAUCCAGUACUGGCUCGUGAGAG